ensembl:lncRNA
GUCCAAGUCUCGCCUCCUCCAGAAAGCCUCCCAGGACUGCUGGCCCCAGACACAAAACUCCCAAGGGAAGGCUGUUCCACCAAAAGUCACGGAUGCAGCGAUAAUGAUGAGUUUGGAGAGGACUGCAGACCCUGAGGCGGAGGUUGGUGCAGGGGCUGGACCUGAAACUGGGUUCACACAACAAGCUCAGACUCCUCUUAACGUUCCUGGUUGGUGACAUUGUGGGGUCUUGGAUGCCCCCUCCUCUCUGUCCCUGGUACUGUCCCUGCCACCUGGGACUCCACUAAGUUCCUUCCCCUCCACCCACAAGGAAAGCCUGCCCAGUGGCCAGCACUCUGUCCCUCAGCCUCAGAACCAGGAGCAUUCUCUCCGCUUCGAUGUCACAGCAGGUAAAAAAAUACACAAAAUAAAAUGAAAUGUCAUGAUCACCUGAGAAGGAAGUUCGGCGUAGGCCCGUAUCACGUGUUUCCAGAGAAGCCACACCUUCGCUAUGAAGCCCUUCCUGGCAUAGAGAAGGGUGGGGCCAGGAAACAGCUGCUAUCCAGCACCCCCAGGCUGACUGAAGCCAGAGUGUAUGGGGGCCAGCGAUGGAACAGAGGGAGCCUCCUGCCCAGGGCAAGCGGGGGGAGACCACCAGGGGCCCCAGAGAUAUUGCUCAGCCAGCGGGCCAGCAUCCCACUGAAGAAGAUCAGAAAGAGGCUUCUGAUUCUGUCUCCAGAGCCUUUGAGGUCACUCCUGACGCUGACAUGGCUGUGAAGAGCUGGGUGACAGGCAUUACUGCCUCCAAGGUUGCUUUGAGAGGAAUAGGUGGGGCAUCAGGAAGAAGCCAGCUGCAGCCAUCCAUGGGAGGGAGCUGUGAGACGGCCUGGAAGGACCGGCUCUCACACCCCACAGAGGGAGAGGCUCACCCUGCGCAGGAACAUCCUGGGGCAGCAGGCUCAGCACAUUUUACAUUUUGAAUAUGAACAAAGUAAACUUCAGGGUAAAAAAAAAAACAAAAAUUCGCUGAGCACACAAUGAUUGAGUGUCUGUGGUAUACCUGACGCUUUGCCAGAACCAGGCUUCAAACCUCAGGGUUCUGGGUCCUUGGAGGCCCAGCUCCAACCCCACCUCACCCAAGCACCCUCCACCCCCAUCACGUACCCAUCACCAGGGCUGCCCAGCUUGGGCCAUCUCAGACCACUUGGACUUCCUCCCGAGGCCUCCAGCCCCUCAGGCCUCACACCCUGAGCCCCUCAACCUGGAAACCAGCCACCGGCCUGUACACUAUGGGGGCCCCUGAGGUUUCCACCUCCUGCUACCCUUGGCCUGAAAGGGGUCAGUGGGACCCUGCCCUGGGCCUCUGGGAGGCUGUACCCUUGCUUCUGCCUCAUCCUGUUCUCCAGGGCCCUGUCCCUUUCUUGCUGGGCCCUCCCAGAAUGCCCCCCACCCCCAGUCACUGCCCUCACUGGCCUAAGUCACCUCCUCCAGGAAGCCUUCCAGACUGAUGGCUCCCAGCCACUGAGCAUCCCCCAACUUUGCUGAGAAUGGUGGACGCCCACCAUGGGCCCUCGGAAGCCGGAGAAGCCUGGGCCUCCCUGCAGGGGCUGCCACAGAGUUUUCCUGCCACUGCAGUUCCACCCAGGUCAAUCCCUUUCCUGCUUGUGUUUCCCAAGAAUAACUGUGGAACAUGCUGGAAAUGCAACAUCCUGAGAUAGGGAGAACAGCCUGAAGCAGCCAGGGCCUAGUUCCUGUCGCUCCAGGAGAAGGGAACAUGAUGAGUUAGAGAGUGGCCCCUGAAGAAGAAAGCGAGACAAAAAUCCCU